AUGGUAUUGAGAGUUGAUGUUGCACACGUAAUCCAUAUGGUUUAUCAAUGGCCUGUUUUAAAAAGUUAUCCUUUUAAGGAAAGGCAUUUGAUUACAUAGGAUCAAGUCGUAUGAUCUACAAUAUGAAGCAGAACAAUUUUAACGCUCUCGGUGGGAUUAAUCUGAAGUUGGAUGAUAUCAAGAGUGUGAUCGAGUUCGGCCAACUGGGCAAAGGGAAAAUAGUUCUCCAUAGCAGCAGUAAAGAUAAUACCACAGAUCGUUUGAGUAAAGUGUUGAAUGCAUCGAUUCUAGAUGAUAGCGUACCACCUACAUCUGUGCAAAGUUUUCUGGAGGCGAGGCCCAGUUUAACGACUGUUGUUAUAACCAAUCAUGGAAAAAAAUUUUUAAAUCGAUACUACAACAGUAUCUUGGACGACGGGGAAAAUCUUGGUUUUAAUAGUGACGGGCGAGUCAGCGCCGCAGUCUGCCGAUCUGCCGAUAUCGCUGGAAGAUCUCGUCGCAGAAAUGUUAUAUUGCUACAUCCAAAGUGCUAAAUGCACUCGGUUUCAUGCAGCCUCGACAUCCGGUGCUAAAUUGAUCAAUCAGAUUUUGCCACUGUACGUUGGUGUGCACCGAGCGCCCAAUGCCGUGACGACAUUAACUGGACAGCUUCUAGCCUUGCUGACUGGCAAGAAACUCAGCAACAUGAAUGAAACGACUUGUCACAAAAACCGCCUCACAUGGAUGGGUGGAUACAAUUUUACAGAAAUAUGCAUAAACUCAACCGUCAAUUAUAGUACAGCUGAUAUAAUAUGAAGUCUGAUGUGUACUCUAUGUAGACAGAGUCCAUAUGGCAAACGUUGAGCGUUAGAAUGUUUCUUAAACCAUCAGCAGCGACAGAACGUUUCAGCAUGAUCUUGGGUAGUCUGGUUGCCGGCACCUUAAUCAUAUUGGUAUGGUUUAUUAAUAACCGAGCUGAUGUGUUAUUUAAUUCGAGGAGAACCGUCGAUUGCUAGGAACAUGCCGCGGACCACAUAUCAAUGACCAGGUUGGAUCAUCAUCACCAAGAUCAGGAUGUUCCAAUAACUAGCCUUUAACUGUAUGUGUGGUGCGCCCUCCGACAAUCUAUAAUUUAAUUCAAAA
rnacentral:misc_RNA from 1 species